rnacentral:rRNA from 1 species
GACAGAGGUGCCAAGCGUUAGGCGGAAUCACUGGGCUUAAAGCGCGCGUAGGCGGCUUUGCAAGUCGGGUGUGAAAUCCCCAGGCUUAACCUGGGAACUGCAUUCGAGACUGCAUUGCUAGAGUAUGGGAGAGGGAAGUGGAAUUUCCGGUGUAGCGGUGAAAUGCGUAGAUAUCGGAAGGAACAUCAGUGGCGAAAGCGACUUCCUGGACCAAUACUGACGCUCAUGUGCGAAAGCGUGGGGAGCAAACAGG